UUACCGCUUAGCUAAAAUGAAAUUCGGCACAGAUAAGGCAAAAUUGUUCACUGAAAAACGAUGCUAGAUUUUCCAAAUAUUUUACUAAUACUGGCAUUCCUCAGCCCGAAUUGCGGGGAAAAUUGUGAGCAAUUUUCCGGCUCUUCUUGGCGAUUUUUAAUUAACUUCGGAGCUGUGCGGCAUGUCAAAAAUUUUUUCGUUGGAAGAUCUCCGGAAAAACCUCCGCCCAAGCAUUUUUAAUUAUUUAUUUCUGGUACAAAUAAAUUCAGAUUUCCGUUGUCUGUCCGCGUGCGUGAGUGUGUGUGUGCUGCAACUAAUUAUGUGCGCUCAACCACUCACAUACCGCACACACUAA
rnacentral:sRNA from 1 species